rnacentral:rRNA from 1 species
CGGCGUGCUUAACACAUGCAAGUCGAACGAUGAACCACUUCGGUGGGGAUUAGUGGCGAACGGGUGAGUAACACGUGGGCAAUCUGCCCUUCACUCUGGGACAAGCCCUGGAAACGGGGUCUAAUACCGGAUAACACUCCUCAGGGCAUCUUGGGGGGUUGAAAGCUCCGGCGGUGAAGGAUGAGCCCGCGGCCUAUCAGCUUGUUGGUGAGGUAGUGGCUCACCAAGGCGACGACGGGUAGCCGGCCUGAGAGGGCGACCGGCCACACUGGGACUGAGACACGGCCCAGACUCCUACGGGAGGCAGCAGUGGGGAAUAUUGCACAAUGGGCGCAAGCCUGAUGCAGCGACGCCGCGUGAGGGAUGACGGCCUUCGGGUUGUAAACCUCUUUCAGCAGGGAAGAAGCGCAAGUGACGGUACCUGCAGAAGAAGCGCCGGCUAACUACGUGCCAGCAGCCGCGGUAAUACGUAGGGCGCAAGCGUUGUCCGGAAUUAUUGGGCGUAAAGAGCUCGUAGGCGGCUUGUCACGUCGGGUGUGAAAGCCCGGGGCUUAACCCCGGGUCUGCAUUCGAUACGGGCUAGCUAGAGUGUGGUAGGGGAGAUCGGAAUCC